rnacentral:rRNA from 1 species
GAUCAUGGCUCAGGAUGAACGCUAGCUACAGGCUUAACACAUGCAAGUCGAGGGGCAUCAGGAAGAAAGCUUGCUUUCUUUGCUGGCGACCGGCGCACGGGUGAGUAACACGUAUCCAACCUGCCCUUUACUCGGGGAUAGCCUUUCGAAAGAAAGAUUAAUACCCGAUAGCAUAAUGAUUCCGCAUGGUUUCAUUAUUAAAGGAUUCCGGUAAAGGAGUGGGGAUGCGUUCCAUUAGGUUGUUGGUGG